GUUGAUUUGCUGCUGAAAGCAGCAGGAUAUUUUAAUUUAUGUGUUCUUGAUGUUCUUCCAUGGCUAGCACCUGAGCUAAAGUUAAGCAUACGCAUUUUUGUUGAUUAGAUUCUUGAUAUCUUUGUAUAGACAGGAUGAAGCUGCCUUCGGACAUGCAGGGGCACGUGCUAGAGGCGAUUUCACAUCAAGCACUGGCACAGGCAAUUUCACAUCAAGCACUGGCACAGGUAGAAACUGCCUUCUAUUACAACUUGAACAGAACAGCAAUCUUAAAAAACAUGCAUGAAGUUGAAGUCAUAGUGUGAGAUGAUGAUUAAUUUAUUGCAUGGGUGAUAUAUUCCAGGGAACUGAAAUUCAGCUUGGAUUAGUUGUCCAAAGUAAAAAUGCAACUGUCUGUGAAGAAGAGACUAGCUUGUGAACAGUUGAGUUUCUAUGCUCAGGUAAUUAAGAUGUCCCAUUUAGUACUAAGCUGCAGUUUCCUUCAUUUCCUACAGUUAGGAAGAGUGUUGUAAGAGACCUAAUUGAUAAGUGUCUGUUUGUUAGGCGUAUAACUGUUUAUCGGACAAGAAUGAGAGCAGUGCAGCUCUGAAGAAUCAACUAUUCUUCCUCAAGCUGAAGCUUCUGGAAGCUAAGGUGCUUCUUAUUUUCAUCAAUCAAUAGUUCCCAUCUCAUUUUGUUUAUUUACACGUUCUAGACUUACACAGGCUGCAGCUUACUACUAUCACCGUGUAAUCCUAGACAAGGGCACAGAGCCUUCCUGCCAUGUCAGCGUCGUCUGCUGCUCUCUUGCUACAGAGGAGUUGCUGGUCGAGAGCAAGAAGGCAUACUUGACCUUUUGCCUUGCAGAUCCAAUCACAAGGUAAUUCACUUCAAAUUAUAAAUAACUUUUUAUUCACCAAUCAAACUAACACAUGCUCUGUUCGAGUUCGUGUACUAGAUGUACAUACAUACACACUUAUAUCUAUAAAAUAGACAUAUUACAAUUAAGAGAUAAAGUUCAAGCAGUUCGCAAGGCACGCUCUUUCUAAGUUGCAAUCUAUAUUUGCUGAAGGGUGAUUGAUAAUUCAUGUGAAAACUUGAGAGCAACCAAAAAAUGUCUAAGUGGAAAGAGUAAAGAAAGCAAUUUAUAUGAAAGGAAAGUAAUUUCUAAGACAACUAUUUGCUCUGUUUUUUUUUUCUUUCACAGCUUUGAACUACUUGCUCGGCAUUAUGUUUGGGUUGCAUCAUUCUAAUGAUCUUGCCAGUAACAUACAACUACAUGAACUAUUUUUAUUAAUGCAUGUUCAUGUAAGUAUAAUACAUAUAUUUAUUUGACAAUGUUGUCUAUCUAUAUCUGCUGGUGGGGUUGGUGGAGAAGGCGAUGGUUGUUUUGAGCGGGAUCACGACGAUUGAGAUAGGGCAAGAGGUGAUCAUUGAGGAAGGCAGGCGGGAUCGCGAGCGAUUGAGGAUGAGAGCAACAAAGGGAAGUAGUUCGCAUAUGUAAUUGCUUACUUCGUUUGAUUUUUUUCUUUUUUUUUUUCUUUUUCUUUUUUAGACUAAAAAUGCUUCUUGGGUUUGAGGAUUUUAAGAUUGAUUUGACUAUUAAAGCUACAAUUUCUUGGAAUUAUAUGUUUGGGUUUAAUAAAUUAUGGAAUAUUUUUCUCUGAUAAAUUAAAAAGAAAAAUAAUAAACACGAUAUAUGUAACAAAAAGUGAAUGUAGAGCACUUUACAAAAAUUAAUAACUUGACUUCAAAAACUUUUUUUUAGCUUGCUACAAUAAGAAUAACUAAUUUCUAUUUAAAUUGAUAUAAUACAUUAAUUAGAUAUGAAUGAUUAAUUAAUGAAAUUUUAAAAUUUAUAAUUAUAGUAUUAAAUAAUUCUUGCAUCUUUUUCUUUAAAAUUACUGUAAGAUCAAAUAAUUCCCAUCGAAUUUCGACGGAUUAGGUGAUUUAUUUGUUGGGUGGUUGAUUGCAGAAUGUCGACGCUGAAAAGCAGCAGCGCACCUACCUCUCAAGCUUCGACGGGUAUCCGUCGGGUAACGGGUGGCGGGGUAACGGGUGGCGGGUAUCCGUGGAUCGUGGGUAUGGGUGGCAAAUAAUUUUUUUGAAUAUACAUUUUGCUAAGUCAUGUUAGAGAUGAAAGUCCUCUUCAAUUUAUUUUUUCAUUUUAGUUUGAUAUGUAAUUAGAUUUAUGUCAUGUUAACACUUAUUUUAUUGAAUAAUAUUCAUUAUUUAUAAAUAUAUUAUGAAAAGAAGAUGAACUUUUUAUUUAUAAACUAUAACACCAAAUAAUUCCCGUCGAAUUUCGACGGGUUACACACUAGUUAUUGUUGUUUAAUUUGUUGUAAAAUAAUAUUACCUUUUAAUUUUUUUUGGUCACCAAAUAGUAGCUAUGGCAUGUCUCACCGGCGCCGGUGAUGUCAAAGUGCAACUGCACGGUGUCAUUAUUUUCACUUCGAUUAAUAUAAUGUUCGACAUACCAACUUCUUUACUACCAAAAUUGUAGUGUUGCAAUUAUAUGGAGUAAUUGAUAAAAGUGAGUGCACUAAUUAACAAUUCCCUAUAAUAAAACUACAACCGCUAUUAAAAAUUGACCUAUUUUUGAAAAUGCAUUUUUGGAAGAUGCUCACGAAUCUAUCAAUUCUAUAAAGCAAUACAUAUUCCAGCCUCCAUAUUGUUUCUCUCUCCUACAUGGCACACUCACACUGCUUUAUUUCACAUUAUCUUGAAAGGCUUUUCACUCACAAUUCUCACAAUUUUACAAAGCCUGUUGCAGCCGUUACAUCCCUCAAGGUCAAAGCCAUCUCUCAAAAUUUCCAUCCAUGGCUUCAGCCGUUACAUCUUUCAAAGUCUCAAUUUCUCUCACAAUAUGAGUUUCCAGUCUCAAUCUUUCCACAAAUCUCAAACAAUUCGCUGGUCUCUCUCGCUUCUUCUCAAACAAUCGGCGCCGAAUCUUCCCACAAAUAUCAAACAAUCGGCUGUGUAAUUGGGAGAUUCAGUUUCUCUCUUUCAAUUUCCAUCGCCCACCUCCCAGCCAACCACCGCCAGUCGCUGUCCUGUCGCCGCGAUUCAGACGCCGUCCUCCGCCCCGUGAUUCAGAUGCCGUCACUGCCUUCUGUGCGAAUCCAGCCGUGCCGUCCUCCACCGCCGCCUUUAUGUGGUCGUGCCUCCAGCCGCCUCUGUGCGAAUCCAGCCGCGCCGUCCUCCGCUUUCUCCAGCCGCCUAUGUCGCCCAUGGCAUCACCAUAGCCAUCAGCAUAGGCCGACGAUUCCCCAAUAUCCGACGCCAUAUCUCCCACCAGCAAUUUUCCAACAAUCCCACCCCUAAUCCCAACCCUAAUCCGUCGCCCAUUCUCAUCUUAUUCUUCUUCGGCCUCUCUGAGUCCGGAUUUGAAAAAAGCCCUGUCGAUUUUUAUUUCUGUUUCAUUGUAGUCUUACUGACUGAAGAACUCUUCCUCUCUCGCUCUUCACAUCUCUCAGAUCUAGCGGGGGAGAAAUCCCUGCCACCAACCUCCGAAGAAUUCGAAAAACAUUCCAGGUUGCCGCCAGUUUCUCGCUGCUGCUGACGCAAUCGCCUCUGUCUGCUUCUCUUCGUCUACCGCCACUCGGCCGCCGGGCUAGAAAUCGCCAUCACCGCCGCUGCCCACCUCCUCUGCCAUGUUAAGUAUGGUAAGUAUUCUAUUAGGAAAGAUUAUAAUUGUAAAUAUAGAAUGAUUAGGGCUCUACUUUAGAAAGAACAAAUUUUGGUAAAUGUUUAGCAAUGGAAACUUUAAAACCUAGAUUUUUAGUUAUAAAUUUAUUAGUUCACUGUAAAUUAUGCCGUAUUCACUCAAUCGCCCCCGCCUCCACCAUUCAGCCGGCCCGCCUCCAGCCUCUGCAUCAUCUUUCACUCCUCAGUCUUCAAGUAACAGCUUAAACCCUCAAAUUUUAUGUAGGCUCGAAUGUUGUAGGGCAGAUGUUUGUAGCUAAAGCUAGAAUUUUUCAUAGGACCACAGAGUAAGCUUAUUUCGACUGGAAUCUUUUCAUUAGUUUGUUGUUUGUUUUUUCUAUAACAGUGAUGAUUUUGUGGGGUUAUUUUGAUUCAAUUUUUUGUUUCAGUGCGCUGUCAAUUUGUGCUCCCCUUUAUAUAGAAAUCAGAAUAUGUUUUUAAUUGGUUUCCCUAGAGUUACAAAUCUUGUGAUUGUGAUGCUAUGAUUUGGUUUUCGUGUGAGAUAAUACGAUGUGAUUAUCUUAUUUGGUAUUUUGUGAGAUGAAUUUGUUAAUAGCUCGGAUGUAUAGUUGUUGAAAUUACUUUGUUAAUGACUGUUAUUAAUUCUAAUCUCGAAUAUUGGCCUUACAAAGAAAGGUUCCUAAUUUCUCUCUUUUUUAUGUCUGCAUUUAUGUUUGAUGAUGGCUUUAUGGAAGAGUUAUGAUUUGAUGAAUUUAACAUGAUGAAAUAGAAUAUGGGCUUGAAGAGUUGGUGGAGUUCAGAUGGAGAGAAUUAGGAGAGGAGACACAGGUUAGAAUUCAAAGCAUUUUGAUUAGCUUUUGAAAUUCUUGAAAAUUUUUUGAGAUUGAUGAUGAAUAUGUGAUGAGCAGGAAAUUCAUGGGGCAAAUUCGUCGUUCGAUUAGCUGUCUGUAUUGCACAUGAUGGCAAUGCUGACGCUGAUGGAGGCAAAUGAAAAGCUAAUUCCUAAAGAAAAUAGUCUGUCUGAGAGGUUUGUGUCUGCAGGGUUAUAUCUAUCUACAUACAUACAAGUGAUAAUUUUGAAAAUUUUGAGAUAAUUUUGUGUUGCUAUUGUGAUCAGAUUGCAUGAGAGAUGUUGUUGAUUUGCUGCUGAAAGCAGCAGGAUAUUUUAAUUUAUGUGUUCUUGAUGUUCUUCCACGGCUAGCACCUGAGCUAAAGUUAAGCAUACGCGUUUUUGUUGAUUAGAUUCUUGAUAUCUUUGUAUGGACAGGAAGAAGCUGCCUUCGGACAUGCAGGGGCACGUGCUAGAGGCGAUUUCACAUCAAGCACUGGCACAGGCAAUUUCACAUCAAGC
rnacentral:lncRNA from 1 species